CAGCCGCCGCGGGAAUACGAAGGGGGCUAGCGUUGUUCGGAUUUACUGGGCGUAAAGGGCGCGUAGGCGGACUGAUAAGUCAGGGGUGAAAUCCCAAGGCUCAACCUUGGAACUGCCUUUGAUACUGUUUGUCUUGAGUUCGAGAGAGGUAAGUGGAACUGCGAGUGUAGAGGUGAAAUUCGUAGAUAUUCGCAAGAACACCAGUGGCGAAGGCGGCUUACUGGCUCGAAACUGACGCUGAGGCGCGAAAGCGUGGGGAGCAAACAGGAUUAGAUACCCCCGUAGUCCCUGUCUCUUAUAC
rnacentral:rRNA from 1 species